rnacentral:rRNA from 1 species
UACGUAGGGGGCCAGCGUUGCUCGGAAUUACUGGGCGUAAAGGGUCCGUAGGCGGUGUAGCAAGUCGAUAGUGAAAUCUCUGGGCUUAACCCAGAGGCUGCUAACGAAACUGCUGUGCUAGAGUACUGGAGAGGAGACUGGAAUUUACGGUGUAGCAGUGAAAUGCGUAGAUAUCGUAAGGAAGACCAGUGGCGAAGGCGAGUCUCUGGACGGUUACUGACACUGAGGCACGAAGGCCAGGGGAGCAAACGGG